CCUCACUUCUCCAUCCCACGAUCCAUCUUCAAAAAAAAAUUUAUGAUCCUUAUAUAAAUCUGUUCUCCAGAUCAUCUCUUCAUCAUCGUCGUGUACUUGUGUCAGUGUGACCCUCAUGGGUUAAUGUUAGAAAUCAAAUAUCUCGCACAGUUGCACUGCCCCAUUUUAGAUUUCUAGAUAUCUUGGAAGAGAGAAACGGAUUCAACGAUCCUCCGAGAGAAUUCUAGGUGACUUUGAUUUCAUCGUUGCUUGGAUUUCAAAUUCUCACUUCUAACUGGAUACUCUCUGUCUGAAUUUUUAAGAAGGAGUUGAAAGAGUGAAAUUGACCACCUUUAUUGUGCUCCACAUCUUGGAUUUGUAAGGACACUUACGAAGACGUACGCAGCACAUAUAAAGAACAAGAUUAAUCUUGAGAUUGAGAUAUUGAUCACUAGGGAUUAUGUUUCCCCCUUGCAAAGUUUGAGGAAACAAUAUUAAAAUAAAGAAGUAGUAUGACUUCAAGUAGGAGAUUGAUUCCGAAGGGAUUUCAUGGAGUUGACUCCAAGAAAAAAAAGAGAGGCCCUUAGAGAAUUUGGCCAUAUAGAACACCUUAAUCUUUUAGAAGGCUAGAAUGAUCAAUGGCUAUGCAUCUGUCAAUGAAGAGGGCCAAUAAAUGGUCAAAAGUUAACAGAAAGAACAAUGUCCUAAUACGCGGUGUUGUGUCGGAUCCCGCACCAGAGGUCCAGGACCAACCAAAGAUUGCCACGUAGUCGGGGUAAUGGCCCAUUAAGGAUAAAGCCCACUAGACCCACAAGUCAAAAGAACAAUCGAAGUGGUUACCACCAUAAGGAGAAUUCGAAGUGACUGCACCUCGACACGAGUCCGGAGACGAAGUCAUGGUUAAGUCGGUCCAAGGAUAUUU